UGUUGAUUGGCACUUCAGUCAGUGACUCUCUACAAUUGAAAACAGGAACGGUCCACCAGAUGGCUUGAAGACUGGGGACGCUACAAACCUUGCUGAGAUUAGAACUGGAUUUGCACGCCAAAACUUAUAAUUGUGACUUAAGGCAAUAGGAAAACUGAAUUUCAUCUGGAUUAUGAGUAUCACUUGAGGGAGUCAUCCGUAAAACUUCCAUGUAUUCCAGGUUGUGCGCCGGACUGUCAGAAUGGCCAUUUCUGAGCAGGGGGUCAUACAGCUGGCAGCAAUGCCAUGUCUUAAAAGCUCUUAAUCAGGCUGCUUGAUCCCGAGCCAAUCCAAGAGUUGCACUAGAGGUUUGAGCAAAAGUUUGAAAAAAGGCUGCUUUAAUGAACAGCAGAGCUACAACUCUGAAAGUGUGAAUAGCAUCUAAGUGAAAAUCACAUCUAACCCGGACUCAUUGUCUGUAAGUGGAAAGAAGCAAAAACAGUGAAUUCUGUAAAGCACUUGGGCACUUAUUCAAUUCACGGCUUUGAAACAGCUUCCUGACACGAUUUGCGAAGGUUGAUCAGUGGUCCGAAUGAAGCUUUUUUGAAGCACUCUUUAGAAACUACGUGAUGCUAUCUCAUCACUCAAUUUUAUAAUGGGAAAAAUGCAGUUAGGUCUUGAAUUUCCUGCCUCUUGACUGUCUCCAAAAUGCCUCUUUGUAAUAGCAAGAUGUAACUUCUAUCUAAUUUUAUUUUUUCCAAGCUCGAAAUUUCUUAAAGCCCUUUUCUUAAAAACAAAAAAACAAACCCAACUGUGAUUCUCUCCCCCGUGUCCCCCAUCCCCCACUUACUUUUUGACCACAUGUCCCAUCCUGGCUAUUUUUACUGAUGGAAGUUACAGAUCCAUAUGGCUUGCAUUACUUCAAAAUAUUACUUUAGCUAAAACCAUCACCCAAAUGAGCUUUUUUGGGGAGGAGGAAAAAAAUCUAUACAAAAUCUACGUUGCAACUGGAAACAUUAAAAUGAUGGGUCUGUUAAGCCACUUGGUUUCUCGGACUAUAGGCACAGUUUGAUGUUAAUGUACAUUUGAGAUCUCCUCAUUUUUAAUAACUAUAUAUGAGCAUGUGUGCAUUCUCCUUUGGGGAAAUAGAAAUUCGGGCUUACUUUUUAUUGAGUUAAAAUUUGGAAGAACCUAACUUAGCCAGGAGAAUGUUGAGAAAGUGUGAGAAACCAAUUUGGUUUAAUUCAAACCAAACAGAAUUUAUUUGCAAUCUGUAGUUUUGAUAUAGGAAUGCUUUGUUGCUUCAUCCCUACUUUUUUUGCCAGCUCUUCUUCCAAUCCCCAAACUCUUUUAACCAGCCUUAAGAAACACAGAAAUGAAAGCAAAAUUUCACUUCUUCUCUCCAAAGUCCGCUUCGUUACUAUGCAGCAUACUGAGUGAAAUACAGUUUAGGAAAUAUUGAUGAAGUGACUUCUGAGUUAUGCCAUGUAAGACCAUUAAUAUACCUGCCAAUAUUUCACUAGCUUCACUACUCGCUUCUUCAGAGAAAGAAAUGAUUGAUUGAUCAUAUUUAUAUGUUGCCCACUUCACAGAAAAUUGACUCUGGGCAGUGUACAAUAAAAUCAUGAAAACCCCAAUCAUUAUAAAAAUAGUCUAAAAUUAAAAUAUAAAUAGUGUUGUUAUUUUAAAAAAAAACUAAAAAGAGUAGGGAGUGCAUAGAUGUUA